rnacentral:pre_miRNA from 1 species
AGGAGGAACAACCACGGUGGCGGGGCCUGUUCUGGAGCCCUGGCUUGAGCCCCAGCAGGAAGUAUGGAGCUCUUGGUCUGCAGGGCCUGGAGGCUCCUGGGCGGG